UGGGGAAUAUUGCACAAUGGGCGAAAGCCUGAUGCAGCAACGCCGCGUGAGGGACGACGGCCUUCGGGUUGUAAACCUCUUUUAGCAAGGAAGAAGCGAAGGUGACGGUACUUGCAGAAAAAGCGCCGGCUAACUACGUGCCGGCAGCCGCGGUAAUACGUAGGGCGCAAGCGUUAUCCGGAAUUAUUGGGCGUAAAGAGCUCGUAGGCGGUUUGUCGCGUCUGCUGUGAAAACCCGAGGCUCAACCUCGGGCCUGCAGUGGGUACGGGCAGACUAGAGUGCGGUAGGGGAGAUUGGAACUCCUGGUGUAGCGGUGGAAUGCGCAGAUAUCAGGAAGAACACCGAUGGCGAAGGCAGAUCUCUGGGCCGUAACUGACGCUGAGGAGCGAAAGGGUGGGGAGCAAACAGGCUUAGAUACCCUGGUAGUCCACCCGUAAACGUUGGGAACUAGUUGUGGGGUCCAUUCCACGGAUUCCGUGACGCAGCUAACGCAUUAAGUUCCCCGCCUGGGGAGUACGGCCGCAAGGCU
rnacentral:rRNA from 1 species